rnacentral:rRNA from 1 species
AUUGAACGCUGGCGGCAGGCCUAACACAUACAAGUCGAGCGGAUGAAGGGAGCUUGCUCCUGGAUUCAGCGGCGGACGGGUGAGUAAUGCCUAGGAAUCUGCCUGGUAGUGGGGGAUAACGUCCGGAAACGGGCGCUAAUACCGCAUACGUCCUGAGGGAGAAAGUGGGGGAUCUUCGGACCUCACGCUAUCAGAUGAGCCUAGGUCGGAUUAGCUAGUUGGUGGGGUAAAGGCCUACCAAGGCGACGAUCCGUAACUGGUCUGAGAGGAUGAUCAGUCACACUGGAACUGAGACACGGUCCAGACUUCUACGGGAGGCAGCAGUGGGGAAUAUUGGACAAUGGGCGAAAGCCUGAUCCAGCCAUGCCGCGUGUGUGAAGAAGGUCUUCGGAUUGUAAAGCACUUUAAGUUGGGAGGAAGGGCAGUAAGUUAAUACCUUGCUGUUUUGACGUUACCAACAGAAUAAGCACCGGCUAACUUCGUG